rnacentral:rRNA from 1 species
AUUGAACGCUGGCGGCAUGCUUUACACAUGCAAGUCGAACGGUAACAGGUUAAGCUGACGAGUGGCGAACGGGUGAGUAAUGCAUCGGAACGUGCCCGAUCGUGGGGGAUAACGCAGCGAAAGCUGCGCUAAUACCGCAUACGAUCUGAGGAUGAAAGCGGGGGACCGUAAGGCCUCGCGCGAUCGGAGCGGCCGAUGUCAGAUUAGGUAGUUGGUGGGGUAAAGGCUCACCAAGCCAACGAUCUGUAGCUGGUCUGAGAGGACGACCAGCCACACUGGGACUGAGGCACGGCCCAGACUCCUACGGGAGGCAGCAGUGGGGAAUUAUGGACAAUGGGCGAAAGCCUGAUCCAGCAAUGCCGCGUGCAGGAAGAAGGCCUUCGGGUUGUAAACUGCUUUUGUACGGAGCGAAAAGGUUCUCUCUAAUACAGAGGGCUCAUGACGGUACCGUGAGAAUAAGCACCGGCUAACUACGUGCCAGCCGCCGCCGUAA